GGCUCCGCCCCCUCCUGGCCUCCGAGACGUUUUGGCGUUGGUUUUUCUGUGCCCGUCAGCGUGUUUUUGCCUAUUUGCUUGUUUGCUUAACUAUAGGGCCUUAGCUCCCAGAGAAAGCCUCAGGAAUGCGCUUGUCGGACAGUGCCUCUCCUCGUAGAUCCUCCGGGCAGGACCUCCAGGGGACGCCACGAAUCCAUAGCAGCCUUCCCUGCCGGGCCAGGCCUACCCACCUCGACCCAGCUUGGGGGCCCAGCAAACAUGGUCUCGGAGUUAACUGUUUUCCUCAUCUGGAAAAUGAGGAAGUCAGAAGGCUUCGAGGCAACGAUGGAAGCAAAGCAUGGUAUAGCACAAGCACAAGUGCCAGAUACACAGGAGAAAGCCCCCCUGGGGGAUCCGGCGCCAAGGCUUCGGACGGCCCCAGCUGACGCUGAGUGGAACAGACUCUCAGGCCUGACUCACUUGGCCUUUUCAUCAAUGUUUCAGAAGCAGAGCGGUUUUGCGCCUGGGUGAACCUGCCCAAAUAAAGUCCUUCAUUUCUGUAUACACAGCUUCUAGUGAAACUACGUUAAGACCUAACUCACUUGAUACAUAAGGAAUAACUUAGAAAAUCAAGACAAUCCUUUUUCUCUAUCAAGUCCUAGAAUUAAAACUAUUGAAAUAAUGGAAACUAUUAUCUCAUUGGCAAUUUAGGAAAAUUAACCUCAAGAUUCAAAGGUCACUGGGCAUCAUAUUAGUUUAAUAUUUUGAAAUACUUAUUGUCUCUACAUGGCUCCCAGGAGAGAAACCUGGCUCAGUUCCUACCUGCUCACUGCACACCACAUAGGCCACGCUGAGAGGUGAUGUCUGCAAUUCCUACCCUGUUACCCUCACCUAAAGACUAUUCUUUUUCUACCUUAUUUUGAAGCUCAGAGCAUCCAGCUAGACCGGUGGUUCUCAACCAGGGGCAAUUUUGUACCGCUCCCACCUUCCCCCACUGCCAGAACCCUCCCCCAGCCCACGCCCCCAGCCCACGCCCCCACAGGACAUUUAUGUCUGGAGACAGUUUUAGUUACAAUUGGGGGCAGGGGUGUACUGCCGGCAUCUAGUGCUCAGAGGCUGGAGAUGCUAAACAACCUACAAAGCCCAGGACAAGCCCUGCACCAAGCCCCGCCCCCAUCACAAAGCAUUCCCCAGUCGGUUUAACUGUCAACAAGGCUGAGGUUGAGAGGCCCUGAACUAGAUUAGUGUCUCCUCUGACCCUGUUAAUGCCACCUAAUGAUCUCUCAGGUGCCCCCUCACCUCUCAUUGCAAUAUCUCUGCCUCCUACUUCCAGGACUGAUUCCUAGGCCACACGUGGACUUUGUCAUUGCCAAGAACUGCCCCCCUCCUGAAAUUCUACGGCCUUAGGGUCCGAUUCUCAUUACAACUACCCUCCACCAGCGUGCUUUCUCCCUUGCUCCCUCUUUGUUCUUUGAUGUCACCUGGACCUCUCUCUAGUUUUAUCCACUACUCCCUUUUCCUCCAAUGUGACCUUCUAGGCCAGUACUAGAAACAGAAAUAUAUUGCAAGCUGCAUAUGUAAUUUAAACUAUUCUAGUAGCUAUGGUUUAAAAGAGUGACUAUACAAUUGCACUUAAUUUUCAUAAUGUAUUUCAUUUACCCAAUAUAUUCAAAAUGUCAAUUCAGCAUUAAUAUACAAUAAUUGAUGGAACAUUUUACAUUUUUUUUGUACAAAGUCUUUGAAAUCCCAUGUAGUUUAUUUACUUAUUAAGGUAUUAUUCCUUGUAUUUUAGUUAUGGCACAUUGCUAUACACACUGACCACUUUGCAGGUGCUCAACAGUCACGCAUGUCACUGAAGCUAGUUUCUUUCCACCACCCAUGACUUCCUGUUGAUAAAUCCAAUGGGCCCUCUUCAGACUCUGUAACUCCACCAGCCUUUGACAUGAUUGCCCACCGCAGCACCUCUCACAUCAUUGGAAUGUGGUGGUUAUGAGUCAGGCUCCGGAGCCAGGCUGCCUGGGUUCUAAUUCCAGUUCUACCACUUAUUAGCUGUGGGACCUGAGGUAAAUAACCUGCCCUGUCUGUGCACCAGAGAUAAUAAUUGUACCUACUUCUAGGGUUGUUUUGCAGUUUAAAUGUGUUAAUAGAGAACACUUAUCUAGUCCUAUUCUAAACGCUCUGUAUGUAUUAAUUGUUACCUAAAACAGUGCCUAGCCCCUAGUAACAUGUAUGUAUCUAUACGAAUAGCAUUUUACCAUUUCCAAUCACU